rnacentral:rRNA from 1 species
GGACCGGCUAAUUCCGUGCCAGCAGCCGCGGUAAUACGGAAGGUCCGGGCGUUAUCCGGAUUUAUUGGGUUUAAAGGGAGCGUAGGCCGUCUGAUAAGCGUGUUGUGAAAUGUCGGGGCUCAACCUGGGCAUUGCAGCGCGAACUGUCAGACUUGAGUGCGCGGGAAGUAGGCGGAAUUCGUCGUGUAGCGGUGAAAUGCUUAGAUAUGACGAAGAACUCCGAUUGCGAAGGCAGCCUGCUGUAGCGCAACUGACGCUGAAGCUCGAAAGCGUGGGUAUCGAACAGGAUUAGAUACCCUGGUAGUCCACGCGGUAAACGAUGGAUGCUCGCUGUUUGCGUCUGACGUAAGCGGCCAAGCGAAAGCGUUAAGCAUCCCACCUGGGGAGUACGCCGGCAACGGUGCAACUCAAAUGAAUUGACGGAAU